rnacentral:lncRNA from 1 species
CAGGAAUAUUAAUGAAAAAGUUAAAAGACAUUCAGUGAUAGGGAUGAAGUGGAGGCCUUAUCGAUAAACAAAGAGUCCCCAGUUCAGGAAAUGGUACAGCGCUGAGAGUAUUUUGAAAGUUAAGAAAGGUGAAAUGUAUAAAGUGAGAUUUCAUGAAGAUGGUUCCUAGUAAGUCCGGAGUAUGGCUCGUAUUCG